AGUGAACGCUGGCGGCAGGCCUAACACAUGCAAGUCGAACGGCAGCACAGGGGAGCUUGCUCCCUGGGUGGCGAGUGGCGGACGGGUGAGGAAUACAUCGGAAUCUACCCUUUCGUGGGGGAUAACGUAGGGAAACUUACGCUAAUACCGCAUACGAUCUGAGGAUGAAAGCAGGGGACCGCAAGGCCUUGCGCGAUGGGAUGAGCCGAUGUCCGAUUAGCUAGUUGGCGGGGUAAAGGCCCACCAAGGCGACGAUCGGUAGCUGGUCUGAGAGGAUGAGAAGCCACACUGGAACUGAGACACGGUCCAGACUCCUACGGGAGGCAGCAGUGGGGAAUAUUGGACAAUGGGCGCAAGCCUGAUCCAGCCAUGCCGCGUGUGUGAAGAAGGCCUUCGGGUUGUAAAGCACUUUUGUUGGGAAAGAAAUCCUGUCGGCUAAUACCCGGCUGGGAUGACGGUACCCAAAGAAUAAGCACCGGCUAACUUCGUGCCAGCAGCCGCGGUAA
rnacentral:rRNA from 1 species